CUGUCUCCACCCGAGACUCAGUGAAAUUGAACUCGCUGUGAAGAUGCAGUGUACCCGCGGCAAGACGGAAAGACCCCGUGAACCUUUACUAUAGCUUGACACUGAACAUUGAGCCUUGAUGUGUAGGAUAGGUGGGAGGCUUUGAAGUGUGGACGCCAGUCUGCAUGGAGCCGACCUUGAAAUACCACCCUUUAAUGUUUGAUGUUCUAACGUUGGCCCGUAAUCCGGGUUGCGGACAGUGUCUGGUGGGUAGUUUGACUGGGGCGGUCUCCUCCUAAAGAGUAACGGAGGAGCACGAAGGUUGGCUAAUCCUGGUCGGACAUCAGGAGGUUAGUGCAAUGGCAUAAGCCAGCUUGACUGCGAGCGUGACGGCGCGAGCAGGUGCGAAAGCAGGUCAUAGUGAUCCGGUGGUUCUGAAUGGAAGGGCCAUCGCUCAACGGAUAAAAGGUACUCCGGGGAUAACAGGCUGAUACCGCCCAAGAGUUCAUAUCGACGGCGGUGUUUGGCACCUCGAUGUCGGCUCAUCACAUCCUGGGGCUGAAGUAGGUCCCAAGGGUAUGGCUGUUCGCCAUUUAAAGUGGUACGCGAGCUGGGUUUAGAACGUCGUGAGACAGUUCGGUCCCUAUCUGCCGUGGGCGCUGGAGAACUGAGGGGGGCUGCUCCUAGUACGAGAGGACCGGAGUGGACGCAUCACUGGUGUUCGGGUUGUCAUGCCAAUGGCACUGCCCGGUAGCUAAAUGCGGAAGAGAUAAGUGCUGAAAGCAUCUAAGCACGAAACUUGCCCCGAGAUG
rnacentral:rRNA from 1 species